AUUGAACGCUGGCGGCAGGCCUAACACAUGCAAGUCGAACGGUAACAGAAAGCAGCUUGCUGCUUUGCUGACGAGUGGCGGACGGGUGAGUAAUGUCUGGGAAACUGCCUGAUGGAGGGGGAUAACUACUGGAAACGGUAGCUAAUACCGCAUAACGUCGCAAGACCAAAGAGGGGGACCUUCGGGCCUCUUGCCAUCGGAUGUGCCCAGAUGGGAUUAGCUAGUAGGUGGGGUAACGGCUCACCUAGGCGACGAUCCCUAGCUGGUCUGAGAGGAUGACCAGCCACACUGGAACUGAGACACGGUCCAGACUCCUACGGGAGGCAGCAGUGGGGAAUAUUGCACAAUGGGCGCAAGCCUGAUGCAGCCAUGCCGCGUGUAUGAAGAAGGCCUUCGGGUUGUAAAGUACUUUCAGCGGGGAGGAAGGGAGUAAAGUUAAUACCUUUGCUCAUUGACGUUACCCGCAAAAGAAGCACCGGCUAACUCCGUG
rnacentral:rRNA from 1 species